CCUACGGGAGGCAGCAGUGGGGAAUUUUGGACAAUGGGCGCAAGCCUGAUCCAGCAAUGCCGCGUGAGUGAAGAAGGCCUUCGGGUUGUAAAGCUCUUUUGUCAGGGAAGAAACGGCUGAGGCGAAUACCUUUGGCUAAUGACGGUACCUGAAGAAUAAGCACCGGCUAACUACGUGCCAGCAGCCGCGGUAAUACGUAGGGUGCAAGCGUUAAUCGGAAUUACUGGGCGUAAAGCGUGCGCAGGCGGUUUUGUAAGUCUGACGUGAAAUCCCCGGGCUCAACCUGGGAAUUGCGUUGGAGACUGCAAGGCUGGAGUCUGGCAGAGGGGGGUAGAAUUCCACGUGUAGCAGUGAAAUGCGUAGAGAUGUGGAGGAACACCGAUGGCGAAGGCAGCCCCCUGGGUCAAGACUGACGCUCAUGCACGAAAGCGUGGGGAGCAAACAGGAUUAGAUACCCUGGUAGUCCACGCCCUAAACGAUGUCUACUAGUUGUCGGGUCUUAAUUGACUUGGUAACGCAGCUAACGCGUGAAGUAGACCGCCUGGGGAGUACGGUCGCAAGNUUAAAACUCAAAUGAAUUGACGGCUGAGAGNGCGAGCGACGACGAGGGAGGAGG
rnacentral:rRNA from 1 species